GUGCGAUUUACCGUGUCUGUGGCGUCGUUUGAGUUUCGAAAGAAGCGAGAAGUUGCAGCCUUUAAAAAUUGCCUAGCGACUUUUUUGACUUUUUGGGGUCAAUCUUUGUAAAACGGCUACUUGGGU
rfam:Campylobacter upsaliensis JV21 genomic scaffold SCAFFOLD1, whole genome shotgun sequence.